rnacentral:rRNA from 1 species
AUUGAACGCUGGCGGCAGGCCUAACACAUGCAAGUCGAGCGGAUGAAGGGAGCUUGCUCCUGGAUUCAGCGGCGGACGGGUGAGUAAUGCCUAGGAAUCUGCCUGGUAGUGGGGGAUAACGUCCGGAAACGGGCGCUAAUACCGCAUACGUCCUGAGGGAGAAAGUGGGGGAUCUUCGGACCUCACGCUAUCAGAUGAGCCUAGGUCGGAUUAGCUAGUUGGUGGGGUAAAGGCCUACCAAGGCGACGAUCCGUAACUGGUCUGAGAGGAUGAUCAGUCACACUGGAGCUGAGACACGGUCCAGACUCCUACGAGAGGCAGCAGUGGGGAAUAUUGGACGAUGAGCGAAAGCCUGAUCCAGCCAUGCCGCGUGUGUGAAGAAGGUCUUCGGAUUGUAAAGAACUUUAAGUUGGGAGGAAGGGCAGUAAGUUAAUACCUUGCUGUAUUGACGUUACCAGCAGAAUAAGCACCGGCUAACUUCGUG